rnacentral:lncRNA from 1 species
GGGAAGGAAGAAAAGCAUCACUUGCAACCUACUGCAAAGCACAAAACAGCUAGCUGUGUAUUAUAUAUCUGAAACUUCAUGUAGAAGAAGAAAAUUAGAUACAAAUACCUUAACCACAGUACAGAAAAAAACUAUGUUUGAAAUAUGGCCACAUAGAAACUGACCACAACUUCAUGACAAGGGUUUUGUCAGGGGGAAGUGCACGUACAGUAGAGAUGACAGCAGGGGGAAAACAUACAAGGACAGUUGAGGCAAGCAGUGCAGAGCAGAGGAGUUCAGCCAAACUGAAGCUCAAUGUCCAGUUUCUGAACCAGCACUGACCUUGCAGGAAGAGUUCAGUUUCAUCCAAAAAACUCAAUGUGGAGAAGAAUUCGCCAUCACUUUCAGCUGGUCUGCUCCUAUUAAAAAUUAACAUUUUCAGCAUCUUGAUUGUUUCCUUUUGGCUUCUACAGUUUUCUGUUUCCAGAUAUGGAUUGGCAGGGCAAAUUUCAAUAAACAAGGGAAAAAUAAUUGUGGAAGUCA